AAUUUACCUCUUUGUUUGGGAUAGCCAUCGGAAACGAUGAUUAAUACCGAAUGUGUUCGGGAACUGCAUAGUUCCUUAUAUAAAGGCGGGGAUCUUCGGACCUGUCGCAAAGAGAUAAGCCCAUAUCCUAUCAGCUUGUUGGUGAGGUAAUGGCUCACCAAGGCUUACGGGUAGCUGGUCUGAGAGGAUGAUCAGCCACACUGGAACUGAGACACGGUCCAGACUCCUACGGGAGGCUGCAGUCGAGAAUCAUUGUCAAUGCACGGAAGUGUGAACAUGCGACGCCGCGUGGAGGAAGACGGCCUUCGGGUUGUAAACUCCUGUCAGCAGGGAGUAAGGAUAGAUUACUUAAUACGUCUUCUAUUUGAUAGUACCUGCAGAGGAAGUCACGGCUAACUCUGUGCCAGCAGCCGCGGUAAUACAGAGGUGGCGAACGU
rnacentral:rRNA from 1 species